rnacentral:rRNA from 1 species
UACGUAGGGAGCGAGCGUUGUCCGGAUUCAUUGGGCGUAAAGAGCUCGUAGGCGGCUUGGUAAGUCGGAUGUGAAACCUCCAGGCUCAACCUGGAGUCGACAUCCGAUACUGCCAUGGCUAGAGUCCGGUAGGGGCCCACGGAAUUCCUGGUGUAGCGGUGAAAUGCGCAGAUAUCAGGAGGAACACCGAUGGCGAAGGCAGUGGGCUGGGCCGGCACUGACGCUGAGGAGCGAAAGCGUGGGGAGCGAACAGG